GACGAACCAUGCGAACGUUAUUCGGAAUUACUGGGCUUAAAGCGUGCGUAGGCGGUCCCGAAAGUUGGGUGUGAAAUCCCCCGGCUCAACCGGGGAAUGGCGCCCAAAACUACGGGACUCGAGGGAGAUAGAGGUGGGCGGAACUUAGGGUGGAGCGGUGAAAUGCGUUGAUAUCCUAAGGAACACCAGAGGCGAAAGCGGCCCACUGGGUCUUUUCUGACGCUGAGGCACGAAAGCUAGGGGAGCGAAC
rnacentral:rRNA from 1 species